rnacentral:ncRNA from 2 species
GUAUAAUGCGCGCCUUCAGGUGCCGACGCGGCUUUCCGCCGCCGAGGGUAAACGGGAAACAGGUGCGCGGCUUUGCCGCCAUGCCUGUGCUGCCCCCGCAACGGUAAGCGCUAAACGGUCCAUCACACCGCCACUGGGUUCGCCCGGGAAGGCGAUGCACUUCAAGCGCGAGCCCGGAUACCGGCCUGAGCCCUGUCGCGACG